rnacentral:rRNA from 1 species
CCUACGGGAGGCAGCAGUGGGGAAUAUUGCGCAAUGGGCGAAAGCCUGACGCAGCGACGCCGCGUGAGGGAUGAAGGUCUUCGGAUCGUAAACCUCUGUCAGCAGGGAAGAACGGUCACUGUGCUAAUCAGCAGUGAAUUGACGGUACCUGCAAAGGAAGCACCGGCUAACUCCGUGCCAGCAGCCGCGGUAAUGAGGAGGGUGCGGUCGUUAAUCGGAAUUACGGGGCGUAAGGCUGUCUUAGGCGGUAUGUCAAGGUAAGGGUGAACGCCCCGCGUUAAACGUGGGAACUGCCUUUGAAACUGGCAAACUGGAGUGUGUGAGAGGAUGGAGGAAUUCGAGGUGUAGGAGUGAAAUCCGUAGAUAUCU